CAGUGGAGGAAGGUUCCACCCAGAGAGUUGUCGAUUGAUCUGGAAGCUGACGAGCGAUUUGGUUGGGCAACUGGCGGGAUCGGAGCCUCGUGACAAAGGCCGCCAUUGGGUGGUUGAGCGGGUGCUGUCUCGGGUGUGGUGGGAAAUAGGUUGGCGUAGUCUCCGGGUAUCGCAACCCAA
rnacentral:ncRNA from 1 species